ACUUGGUUUCUAUACACCUAUCUGAAAUCGACACAAGACAAAAUGCGGUACACGAUUGUUGUAGCGAUGUUUCUGCUCCUUGCUAUUUCCGGUAGUGAUGCAGGGCCUGGCUGUGCGUGUUUAGCAGUGUGGGACCCAGUAUGUGGAGUAGACGGCAAAACGUACAGCAACGAAGGUUGCCUCAGAUGCGCUGGCGUAGCUCUGAAGCACACAGGCGAAUGCAGCAGAUAUGGUUAGAGUAAUUAGCUUCUGCAACAGAUGAACAGCUCCAUGAUUGAUAGUUGACACGCCGGCACAUAACUCAAUGAUGAAUUUCAUUACAGUUUAACAGUUUGUUGUUCACCUGUAACAUGCUUAAGAAUGAAAUAAAUUCGAAAUAUU